AGAGAGGUGUUUCGCAGUACAAUGCAACUUAUGUAGUGAAUUACUGCACAAUUGGAUCGAGUUGGAUCGGGUUUGAUGAUGUUGAGGUUGUGAAGAUUAAGGUUGCCUAUGCUAAGAAGAAGAAUUUGCUGGGUUAUUUUGUGUGGCAAGUCCCAUAUGAUGACAAUUGGGUGCUUUCUCAAGCAGCACAAGAAGACAAGAAAGUUAAUAGUAACAAGAGAAGCUUGUUGUUAAUCAUCUUGCUCACAACAACCGCCGUAAUUAUUGUCAUACUAGGUUCUACAAUGUGGUAUCUGCGAAAGAGAGUUCUAAGAUAUAUAGGAUUGAUGGAUGAACAAAAAGAAUCACAGAGAACUACUAUGGCAUUUGAUGGAAAUACUAAUUCUCCUAAUUUGCAAGUGUUUACUUUCACUAACAUUGUAUUGGCUACUAAUAAUUUUUCAUUUGAAAAUAAGCUCGGAGAGGGUGGAUAUGGACCUGUUUACAAGGUAAUAUAGACUAGGAUUUGAAUGAUAUUGUAUAAUAUGGUUGAAAUGACUUUUGGGUGUUGGGGGUGGUUUUUAUUUCCUUUGCUUUUUGUUUGUUCGGUUGGUUUCUCUCCAGCCAUGGUGUAGUGCUAGUAGAUGAUUGGCUUGCUUUCCGGUCCCAACCUAGUUGGAAUCGUCUAGUUUGCUUUGAUGCUUUGGCACUCGCCUCCCUUUAUUGAUGUUCAUCUUUGUAUUUGUACAUUUGAUUUUCAUCAAUAAAUUUUCUUUUGCUGAUC